rnacentral:rRNA from 1 species
UUAAAGUCUGACCUGCCCACUGAAAAUUUUAAAUGGCCGCAGUAUUCUAACUGUGCAAAGGUAGCAUAAUCAUUAGUCUUUUAAUUGAAGGCUGGAAUGAAUGGUUGGACGAAAUAUUAACUGUUUCAUUUAAAAUUUUUGUAGAAUUUUAUUUUUUAGUCAAAAAGCUAAAAUUUAUUUAAAAGACGAGAAGACCCUAUAAAUCUUUAUAUUUUAUUUAUUUUAAUUGUUAAGAUUAUUUUUGUUAUAAUAAAUUAAAGUAUUUUAUUGGGGUGAUAUUAAAAUUUAAAAAACUUUUAAUUUAAAUAAAUCAUUAAUUUAUGAGUAAUUGAUCCAUUAAUAAUGAUUAAAAAUUUAAGUUACUUUAGGGAUAACAGCGUAAUUUUUUUGGAGAGUUCAUAUCGAUAAAAAAGAUUGCGACCUCGAUGUUGGAUUAAGAUAUAAUUUUGGGUGUAGCCGUUCAAAUUUUAAGUCUGUUCGACUUUUAAAUUCUUACAUGAUCUGAGUUCAAACCGGUGUAAGCCAGGUUGGUUUCUAUCUUUAAAAAAUUAUAAUAUUUUAGUACGAAAGGACCAAAUAUUAAAAUAAUUAUAUUUUAAAUAAGAAUAUUAUUAAUAAUA